rnacentral:rRNA from 1 species
GUCGAGCGCCCCGCAAGGGGAGCGGCAGACGGGUGAGUAACGCGUGGGAAUCUACCCAUCUCUACGGAAUAACAGUUGGAAACGACUGCUAAUACCGCAUACGCUCUACGGAGGAAAGGCUUCGGCCACCGUUUGAGGAUCCCGCGUCCGAUUAGCUAGUUGGUAGGGUAACGGCCUACCAAGGCGACGAUCCAUAGCUGGUCUGAGAGGAUGAUCAGCCACAUUGGGACUGAGACACGGCCCAGACUCCUACGGGAGGCAGCAGUGGGGAAUAUUGGACAAUGGGCGAAAGCCUGAUCCAGCCAUGCCGCGUGAGUGAUUAAGGCCCUAGGGUUGUAAAGCUCUUUCACCGGUGAAGAUAAUGACGGUAACCGGAGAAGAAGCCCCGGCUAACUUCGUGCCANCAGCCGCGGUAAUACGAAGGGGGCUAGCGUUGUUCGGAAUUACUGGGCGUAAAGCGCACGUAGGCGGAUUGUUAAGUGAGGGGUGAAAUCCCAGGGCUCAACCCUGGAACUGCCUUUCAUACUGGCAAUCUCGAGUCCGAGAGAGGUGAGUGGAAUUAUUGUGAGAGAGGUGAAAUUCUUAGACCAUAGCAAGACGAACUACUGCGAAAGCAUUUGCCAAGAAUGUUUUCAUUGAUCAAGAACGAAAGUUAGAGGUUCGAAGGCGAUCAGAUACCGCCCUAGUUCUAACCAUAAACUAUGCCGACUAGCAAUUUGCUUUGUAUUUUUAUGACUAAGUGAGAGGCCACGGGAAACCAAAGUAGGGUUAUGGGGGAAGUAUGGUUGCAAAGCUGAAACUUAAAGGAAUUGACGGAAGGGCACCACCAGGAGUGGAGCCUGCGGCUUAAUUUGACCCAACACGGGAAAACUUACCUGGUCCUGACACUAGAAGGAUUGACAGAUUGAUAGCUCUUUCUUGAUUUGGUGGAUGGUGGUGCAUGGCCGUUCUUAGUUGGUGGAGUGAUUUGUCUGGUUAAUUCCGAUAACGAACGAGACUCUAGCCUAUUAAAUAAUAUGCGGAAUCAAUUUCUCCCGCGUUAUUUCUUAAUGGGAUCAAGCGUGUUUAACGCUUUGAAACAGAGCAAUAACAGGUCUGUGAUGCCCUUAGAUGUUCGGGGCUGCACGCGCGUUACAUUGAAGAACAAAGUGAGCCCUCCGGCUUUUAACAAAGCUAGAAAUCUCUUAAUGUUCUUCUUAAUGGGGAUAGGGGAUUGCAAUUGUGCCCCUUGAACGAGGAAUUCCCAGUAAGUGCUAGUCAUUAGCUAGUACUGAUUACGUCCCUGCCCUUUGUACACACCGCCCGUCGCUACUACCGAUUGAAUAGUUUAGUGAGAUCAUCUGAGUGUUUGUAUGUGCAUUCUGUGCUUGUAUGGUGUACGAAGAAGAUCAAACUUGAUUAUUUAGAGGAAGUAAAAGUCGUAACAAGGUU